UACGUAGGUGACUAGCGUUGUCCGGAUUUACUGGGCGUAAAGAGCGCGCAGGCGGUCGUUCAAGUCGAGUGUGAAAGCCCCCGGCUCAACUGGGGAGGGUCAUUCGAUACUGAUCGACUCGAAGGCAGGAGAGGGAAGCGGAAUUCCCGGUGUAGUGGUGAAAUGCGUAGAUAUCGGAAGGAACAUCAGUGGCGAAAGCGACUUCCUGGACCAAUACUGACGCUCAUGUGCGAAAGCGUGGGGAGCAAACAGG
rnacentral:rRNA from 1 species